UACGGAGGAUGCGAGCGUUAUCCGGAUUUAUUGGGUUUAAAGGGUGCGUAGGCGGGACCUUAAGUCAGCGGUAAAAUUGCGGUGCUCAACGCCGUAGAGCCGUUGAAACUGGGGUUCUUGAGUGAGCGAGAAGUAUGCGGAAUGCGUGGUGUGGCGGUGAAAUGCAUAGAUAUCACGCAGAACUCCGAUCGCGAAGGCAGCCUACCGGCGCGCAACUGACGCUCAUGCACGAAAGCGUGGGCAUCGAACAGG
rnacentral:rRNA from 1 species